UGCGCUUUUAAGGCGCCGAAUUGUGGUCUGUAGACUUUGACGUUAUCUGCCGGCCCAAGUUCCUUGGAAAAGGACAGCUGAGAGGGUGAGACUCCCGUCCGGCUGGUAGAAUGAGUCAUGUGUCAACGAGUCGAGUUGUUUGGGAUUGCAGCUCUAAUUUGGUGGUAAAUUCCAUCUAAAGCUAAAUAUUGGUGGGAGACCGAUAGCGUACAAGUACCGUGAGGGAAAGAUGCAAAGAACUUUGAAAAGAGAGUUAAAGAGUACCUGAAAUUGCUGAAACGGAAGCGAAGGAAACCAGUGUUUGUUUGUUCAUAUUUCCCUGGCCACUUGUGGUUUGGGCGCUGUGAGCUUGCGUGGGUUUGCUUUGGUUGAAUCUUUUGGAAGAGCGCAGACAGAGUUGAUGUCUGUUGCUAGCACUGGAUUUGACUCAAGCAGACGAAAUGGUUUUCUUUACCCCGUCUUGAAACACGGACCAAGGAGUCUAACAUAUGUGCGAGUACAGGGGUGUCAAACCCCGGUGCGUAAUGAAAGUGACAGUGGUUGGAUAUUUUGCACAAUCCGCCGGCCUCAAUCCUUCGGGAGAACGGUCUGAGUGUGAGCAUAC
rnacentral:rRNA from 1 species